CAAAAACCUAAGAUAAUGAUAACAACAAUAAUAUUAACUUUAAUUUAAUAUAGCGCCUUUCAUGAAACCCAAGAAGACUUUACAGAAUUACAGUGGCUAUC